rnacentral:rRNA from 1 species
AUUGAACGCUGGCGGCAGGCCUAACACAUGCAAGUCGAGCGGAUGAAGGGAGCUUGCUCCUGGAUUCAGCGGCGGACGGGUGAGUAAUGCCUAGGAAUCUGCCUGGUAGUGGGGAUAACGUCCGGAAACGGGCGCUAAUACCGCAUACGUCCUGAGGGAGAAAGUGGGGGAUCUUCGGACCUCACGCUAUCAGAUGAGCCUAGGUCGGAUUAGCUAGUUGGUGGGGUAAAGGCCUACCAAGGCGACGAUCCGUAACUGGUCUGAGAGGAUGAUCAGUCACAAUGGAGAUGAAGAUCGGUCCGGACGCGAACGGGAGGAAGAGGUGGGGAUUAGUGGCGAACGAGGGACAGCAUGAGGCCUGACGGCGGCGGUUGGGAAGAAGGUCGUGGGAUUGUAAAGCUCUGUAGGUGGGGAGGAAGAGAAGUAAUGUAAUACUUGUCUUUUUUGACGUUAACAAAAGAGUAAGCACCGGCUAACGUCGUGCCAGCAGCCGCGGGAAUAG